GACGAACGCUGGCGGCGUGCCUAAUACAUGCAAGUAGGACGCAGUUGCGAACGGGUGAGUAACGCGUAGGUAACUACCUAUUAGAGGGGGAUAACCAUUGGAAACGAUAGCUAAUACCGCAUACUAGUAGAUGGACCUGCGUUGUAUUAGCUAGUAGGUAGGGUAAUGGCCUACCUAGGCAACGAUACAUAGCCGAACUGGGAGGGGGAAGGGCCACACUGGGACAGGGAAACGGCCGAGAGUCCUGAGGGAGGCAGCAGUAGGGAAUCUGCGGGAAUGGGGGGAACCCUGGACAGGCAACGCCGCGUGAGUGAAGAAGGUUUUCGGAACGUGAAGAUCUGUUGUUCAGGAAGCGGUACUUAACCAGAAAGGGACGGCUAACUACGUGCCAGCAGCCGCGGUAAUAC
rnacentral:rRNA from 1 species